rnacentral:lncRNA from 10 species
GGGAGGAACCAGACUGCGAGCGGAGAAGCGGAGUUUGCAGCCUCGGAAUUGGCUAGAGCGCCAGAGCCGAGUCAGCCAUAAAGCUACGCGCUAGGCUCUUGGCCCUGACGUGAGGCGCGCAGAGAUGGCGUAACGGGAAUAGUUUUCAACGUCUAUUUCAUUCCCUGCUUCAGAGGACCUCUUUAAUCUUUGAUUUUGGUCCCUGUUUCUAAGAAAAGCAACUGAAAAGGUCGUAAUACCGCCCCUGAGAAAAAAGGAGCAGCGCUAAAUAAUCGAGAAAAUGCCUCCUCUUGAAACGGAUAUAGAGAUGGAAACAAGAUAUAAGAAGGAUUGAGAAUCAUAUAAUACAGGAGCUUAAACACCUAUGCGCGAUGAUAAAGAGGGUACUAUUAGAGCGCUUGGAAAAUACCAGGAAGUUGAGAGAGUUAACAGAAGGGCGCACGCUGGAUUGGCCACAAAAUCGAAUUACUGAAGGCCACUACUGAUUAGGACACUUAUGGAGAACGUGGGUAGCACUGAAGCAGCAUUCUAGUUUCCAGUGCCAUCAACCUCAUACGUAUCUACCUGGUCUCUGAUCGAAGCUACCGUAAUGUGUUCUUGAGGUCAACAUGUUUUGUGGAAGUCACUGUAUUUGCCCCUUUAUGUCAAUUACCUAUUAUAAACCGAGAGAAAUGGGAAAAUUAAAAACCUGUUUUGAAUUAUUUUUAAUGCAGAACUAUUUUUUCAAGUGAAAUCUUAUACAGAAGUCUGGUAUAUGAAACAGAUAAAAAUGAACCAAUGAGAUUGAAGGGAAUGAGUAGCAUGUAAUCCUGCCCACUCUUCGGAGAAUUUGAGGCAACUUUGUAGAGCCUUAGGAGUUCAGUUUGUAUGUUACUGGGUAAUUUAAAGCAGAAAUUUUAAUCUGACUGCACUUAAGAAUCAUCUGAAGUGUUUGUAUUGGUUAGUCUUAUUUUUAAUACUGAUGUCCUGGUCUCUCUCCCCUCAAAAAAACUCUGCUGCUGGGACCAAGCACAUAGAUGCUUUUUAAAAAGCUCCCGAAAAUGACUCUAAUAUGCAGCCAGGAUUGAAAAUAACUACCCUACACAGCAUUUUUCCUGAUUCUGAGCACUCAGCUUUUCAUUGAUUUUCCCUAGGGCAAGUCCUUCAUCUUAUUCUGGGUCCUUGUGUUUUCUUUCUGAACCUACAAUUUCUCCAUAGGUCCCAUGGUUUUCAAAAUUUCUCAUUUUCCAUUUUCUGUCCUUUUAUAUUACCUACUUGAAAACCACAGUCAUCUUUCAAAACAAAACACUGCCUGUUUCUUAGGUCUUUAUUGUGGGCUUGUUAUUCCUCAAUACAAAUUUACAUAAAAUAAUAACAAUUAAGACAUGGGCCUUGGUGUCAGAAUUAUUUUAUAUCUUUCUUAUUAACUCUGCAGCUUACCAGCUCUGGAUAAGUUAAAGGACAGCUAUAGUCUUACUACAUAGAAUCAUUAUAAGGAAUUGGUGGAGUGAUCCUUAUAAAGUGUUUGCAUGGUACCUAGCACAGAGAAAGUGCUUGAAGUUGUUAACUGUUAUGGUUACAAAAUAUGUAAAUAAUUUUUAUUGUCCAAUUUUCUCUCUUCAUAUACACUAAAUUGUUCUAAUUCUUGAACCACAGUAACAACGUGUGAAUGACUUAUGCAUUCAGUGUGUCCACUCAACUACUAUUUAUUAAGUACCUGUUAUGGUCUAUGAAAGGAACUGGCAAGACAGUCAUUAUUCCCCUUAAAUAUUCCCAAGUGUUAGUGGUCAAAGUUUCUCUCUGCUGAAAAUGAAAAGUACCCCGUAGGAUGGAGGAAACAGCCAUCUUGAGGGCUAAAUCUGGUCUAACAUAAUAUUUGUUGACCUGUUACUACAGUGUUGCCACAUAUGCUUUGUUGGUUUUUUAAUUUAGCCCCCAAACAUUUUAAAAAUCAGAUCUCUCUUCCUGCUUCUCCAUCAAAAUCCCGACCAAGUAAUCAGGAUCUUUGAGAAUCACAAUAAGAAUUACAGCCUCAUGUUUGGAUUUUUUAAAUUUAAAUUUUAAAUUACUCCUUUCCACUGAUAUUUAUUGAGAAACUGCUAUGCUCCAGGUACUGCGAUAAACACUGGGCAAAUGUUGGAGAGCUAAAAAGGCAUAUUCCUCUUAUAAAGACAUUAUUUACUUGUAACAAACAAGUAAAUAAAUGUAUUAGUCAAUAUGUAAGUAAACAAAAAAAUGGACAAGCACAAAUUAUAUUAAGUACUAUGUAGGAAACCAAUAGAGUACUGUAACAGAAUAAUAAGGUAUAUGGGAUGGGGGUGGGAAUCUGUUCAGAGAUGAUCUACCUGAGAAGGUAACAUGUAGGCAGAGAUCUGAAUCGUGAGGAGUCAGCCUUUCAGAGUAAGUGGAGUAGGCACUUCCAAGAGAAAAGCAUAUUCCUGGCUAUUUGCCUAUCAAUGUCAUCUUGAACAAGGGUUAGCAAUCUCCUACCUGUACCACAGAUGCUAUGUGCCACCUCCAUGCUACCUUUGCCACCAAGAGAUUCAAUGUGAUGCAUGAUUUGAAGGUUCCUCAUCCUGAUACCCUGUGGAAAGUAAAAUCAGUGACAAAUAAAAGCAGAUCAUUAUCUCAGGUAGAGUCUGCUAAAGAUGAUACUUGCUUGUCAGUACAUGAGUAUCCACCCUAGUAAAAAACCACAGAAGAAGUGGGAUUUAUCUUCAAUGUUCUCUCACUUCCCCUUCCAAGUGCCUCUCCUGCCUUCUGAUGCUCUUUCCCACAAGUUGCAGGCAAAUAAAGCAUGUAUAUUACUCUCUUUUUAUCCAGAGUUGCUCCUUGUCCUUAUAUGAAGUAGAUUCCAGACCUCACAAUUGUAUAUGCCUACCCUUCUACUCCAACCCCUCAAAAAAAGAGGAAGAAUGAAAGAAUGAACAAGAGAAAAGGAAGGAAGAGAGGGAGAGAGGAAAGGAGGGAAGGAUGGUCCUGAAGAUCACAGUUCGGUGCUGAAAAAAGCAUUUCUAUUAAACUUCAAGACAGAAUGAAUGACCAUAGCUAAUAAUGUACCUUAAGCUUUUCUAGAAUCUUUGUAUUAAAAAAGUUGAUUGUUACUAAAUGUAUUUUAAUCUCAUAAAAUUUUAGGAAUUUAAAUGAAGAAUUUCACAAAGGGUAAGAAAAAUUAUAUAUUAUAUUUAUAAAUUUGUCAUUAUGAUUCUCCCAUUGUGGAAAAAAAAACAAAAUCUCGGUACCCCAAUUCACAAAGCCAAAAGGAAGAAAGUAAGCUGAACGCUGAGUCAUGCAAGAAACUGCUCGCUUUUGUUCCUAAGCUAAUAGCUACAGAUAAAAGGUCAGAUAUCUCCAUAGGUAGGUACUCUAUGUUCACCUUAUGUAAAGUGCCAAUUUAUUGAGCGUAAGAGGAUUACCUAAUUGACUAUUCCCCAGCCUGCUCCUUUUCUCUUGCAACACAUGGAGUCAGCAAUGGGACCAUAUCCUCUCUCUUUCCCCUCCAGCCUGCUUUCCCCCUUUAAAUACUGAAGCCCUCAAAAUCAUCUUUCUAAAAAGGUAUGAACCAUAGAUUGUUCCUGUGGAUUUGUGUUUCUUUCUUCCGGGCAUAUCCUUAAGCUUGGCAAAAUAAAAUUCUAAAUUGAUUGAGUCCUGUCUCGGAUGCUUUUUGGUUUACGCUAUCAAGGUUUGGAAGGCUUAAGACAUGUCAUUAAGGUACUUUAUUUCCUUCUAGCAUUUUGAUUAUACUGAAAUUGGGUAAUUAGUGGUGCCUGUUUUGAGUAACAUGGUGAGUAGAAUUAAGA